rnacentral:lncRNA from 1 species
AGUGGUGUCGAUAAGCAUCGUUCUUGUAUAAGAGGUUGUAGGAUUGACAUCCGCCGCCCUCGCAACGUGCAGGAGUGCAAAGGGGUGAUGGGCCCAUGUGACAGCCCGAUGCCGACGUUCUAGAAGCUUCCCCUCUCUUUCCGUUUUUGUCGUGUGGCUUAUUUUAAUUGUCGUGUCAUCAUCGCAUCAUGCGCAUCAUCAGCAUUGCAUCGGCGUCUCCGUUGCCGCCAGUUUUCAAAACUUGCAUCCGUUAGUAGUUGCCGGAUUCUCGUUGUUGUCCGUUCCGAGUCCGACUGCACACGCACGCGCCCGCGGCACCGUCGAAACCAUGUUUUUAAAGUGCGUUGAAAACUUUCUCUGAUCGGGUUGAGAUUUGACGUGUGGUCGUGAUUAGGUAUAGCGAGGCCGCCUGUUGGAUUUCGUCGCGAUCGGAUACCGUCUGGUACCCGAACGAUUGCCCGUAGCGGCACUGUAUUCGGUCUACCGUCGAACGUCUGUCGGUGUUUUAAAAGUCGAUGCCGCGCCGCACCACUUCCUUCUCAUCUUAGUCAACGCCACUCUACACACCUAACCCUAACCCGCCUCUCCGAUCGGACCGCACGAACGUGUCCAGAG